rnacentral:rRNA from 1 species
AUUGAACGCUGGCGGCAGGCCUAACACAUGCAAGUCGAACGAGUGGCGGACGGGUGAGUAAUGUCUGGGAAACUGCCUGAUGGAGGGGGCUAACUACUGGAAACGGUAGCUAAUACCGCAUACCAUCGGAUGUGCCCAGAUGGGAUUAGCUAGGAGGUGGGGUAAAGGCUCACCUAGUGGACGAUCCCAAGCUGGUCUGAGAGGAUGCCCAGCCACACUGGAACUGAGACACGGUCCAGACUCCUCAGGGAGGCAGCAGUGGGGAAUAUUGCACAAUGGGGGCAAGCCUGAGGCAGCCAUGCCGCGUGUAUGAAGAAGUCCGUCGGGUGGUAAAGUACUUUCAGCGGGGAGGCGUUACCCGCAGAAGAAGCACCGGCUAACUCCGUGCCAGCAGCCGCGGUAAUAC